rnacentral:rRNA from 1 species
UGGGGAAUCUUGCACAAUGGGCGAAAGCCUGAUGCAGCGACGCCGCGUGCGGGAUGAAGGCCUUCGGGUUGUAAACCGCUUUCAGCAGGGACGAGGCCGCAAGGUGACGGUACCUGCAGAAGAAGCCCCGGCUAACUACGUGCCAGCAGCCGCGGUAAUACGUAUGGGGCGAGCGUUGUCCGGAAUUAUUGGGCGUAAAGGGUACGUAGGCGGUUUUUUAAGUCAGGUGUCAAAGCGUGGAGCUUAACUCCAUUAAGCACUUGAAACUGAAAGACUUGAGUGAAGGAGAGGAAAGUGGAAUUCCUAGUGUAGCGGUGAAAUGCGUAGAUAUUAGGAGGAAUACCGGUGGCGAAGGCGACUUUCUGGACUUUUACUGACGCUCAGGUACGAAAGCGUGGGGAGCAAACAGG